AGAGGUUUCCACUUGGGGAUGGGGCCUGCAGGGGAUCUGGUAACCUGGGGUCUGGGGCCAAGGCUGUGUGAGCUGGGCCAAGUCACUUCCCCUCUCUGGGCCUGGUCUCUCACUCCGAAAUGAAGAGGCUGAACUGGUGAUUCCAGAGGGAGAUUCCUUCUGAGGAUGGAGACACAUUCAGGGGGUGCUGAGGUCUGUAAGUUGGUUUCCUGCCCCCCCACCCCCUUGCCAUGUUGAGGACUGGCUCAUGCUCAGAGAUUUGGGGGCUAGAGUCAAGGGCAUGGGACCACACAGCCCUCCGGCCUUCACUCGGUGCCCCCAGGACAGCCUGUGCUUCUCGGCCUUGCUCACUUCUCUGUGGUCAGCUCAGAAUCCACAGCCUUAAACGGGAGAACUCAGGCCGGCCACUCAGGGAGAGGAAGUUCAGUAGCGUGAAACUAGGAAGGCAGCCUCUCCCCGUGGGCUGCGACAUGGAGUCCGGGGUUGCUAGCGCCUGGUCUGCUACCCCAUCCUGGCAUUUGUCACCCUCUCCCCGGAUCUGGGAACAGUACCUCCUCUCCCUAUCCCGCACCGUCUGCCACUCACCUUGCCUGACUCCCCAGGCCCAUUCUCCCUCUCCCGUUCCUGUCCUAUCCCCUAACUCCCAUGCAGAUCUGCAUCUGCCUAACUCCAUCCCAGCCCUCCUGGAAGGCUCCAGCUGAUGGAAAUACGGCGGGCAAUCUGGCUGGAGCAGCCGUGGAAGCACCCUCGCCUCCCCUCCAAGCCCCCCAGUCUGUCUAAGACCACUAAAGAAUCAGAGGGUACGGUAGUUGGUGUUGAGAACCAGGAGGCAAGUUACUUACAAUGUCUCGGAGCCCUUCAUCUCCCUGGCCAGCAUUCGCCUAGUGUUGGCUCUGUGCCAGGCAAGACUCUAUCCGUCUUACCUGUGCUCAUUUAAUCCUGGAAACAACUCUUAAGAACAAAGUACUAUGAUUAUCCCAUUUUACUUUGGGAGAUCUGAGGCAGAAGGGAGCCAAGAAACGAGCCCGAGUUCAUAGGGCUAGUAAGGGGCAGAGGCAGCGAUUUGAACCUGGAUUCUUACCACAUCGUGCUGGAUGUGGGGAGAGCCAACAAGGUGGCACGGGAGAGCACUCUGGAAGCUGGAAAGUGCUGGAUGCAUGUCCCCAGACUGGCUCCGUGGCCCAACUCUAACCAUCCUUCGUCCAUCGCUGGUUUCCCUUUUUCGGCAACAGCAGAGGGGGAGAAAAUCAAAACAAUAGGAGAAGCAAAGAGAAAGCCCAAGCCAGCUGGGUUUUUGCUGGGGCUGCUCCAAGCCACUUCCCCUCUCGCCCCAGCUUCGGUGGUGCAAGGAACAGGGAUGAGACUUGCCGGGCUUUCUCACUUUCCCUCUGGGUCCUCUUGCCCAGAGAUCAGAGGUGGCUACCACCUUUCCCCACCUCUCUCCUCAUCCAGCUGCCCCUGGCUCCGAAUGAGCCUAUCCUCUGUUCCUUCCUCUGUGCGAGGACAUCCAGGCACCCGACUUACUCCCCUUAGCUUCCGGAUCUAAUGGGCAAGUCAGGUUGGAACAGCGCCCCCUUCCUGUCUCUGCAGCUGGGUCCCUCACAGGAAUCCUGUUGCACGGUUGGUUUGCCAGGGAGUCCCCCGCAAUGGGCUGGGCCUAGAGGAAGGGAACAGGGGACCAUGCCAGAUUUUACCUCCGAAAAGCUCCAGCAAGGCAAGGCUCUGAGGAGCCGCUGCUGGGUACACGUUUGUCCAAUGAAUUGUGAACUGGGAGAAAAGGCGGGUGGGGUAAAAGCAGUAAGUUGCCACAAACAGGGACACAGAGCAAGCCCACCCUUCCUGGGCCUGGGCCUAGGGUGCUUCUGGGGUUACAAGGUUGCAGCUUGUCUCUGUUCUUUGCCUCUUGGCCACUGCCAGUGGUGCAGGCCUGGCAGAGAUAUGUAAUUAUAUGUUUCACAUAAUUGUUAAACUGCAUUGAAUAGGCAAGCUGGCCUCAUGCCCUUUCUCCCUGGAGGAUUCACGGAUCAGAGGGCUGCAUCUAUCCUGUUCCCUGCCUGCAGACAGCUGAAACCAAAAAUAUUCUGAACCUCAGUCUUUUUCACAGUCCUCAGAGCUACCCCAGUAUAAGCCCUCCCCCUUUGAGAGCGUGGGCCCACACUUAACAACACAGAUUCAAGUGAAUCUCUCCGGUUGUAUUUGCCCUGUUUUUAGUGGAAGUGGAGUUUCACUGCUAAAAGUCUGCUCCUUUUAAGCGCAGACUAUUGAAAGAAAACAUCUCUGUCCCAUCAUUAGAAGGGGAUAGCACGGACCAUUGGCCUCUGGAAGACCUUCUAGCACUGAUAGCCUGGACCACCGCGUUCCCAGCUCCUGCUGAAUGCUAAGCUGACGACCCUGGUCAUGCUUCCAAUGACUCUUUAGAUAGGCCAGCCUCUGCCAAGCGGUGGGCCUCCUGGAAGGCCCAGGGCAUAAAAACACAUCAAGACUGUUAGUGCCCUGACCCUUCCAGCUCCCAUGGCGCCUGAGUCCCCCGGAAGCAUCGGUGAAUGCCUGUUUGUCCUAGUAGUCUCGGAAAGGUGGGAGGAGCGUCCCCGCUUUCUCCAUAGGUGGGCAAGCGAGAAAUGAGGGGGGGCUGGCCCGGAAGCCCUCGAAGGCAGAGAGGACCUUGGCUCCAGAUUCCAAGGAGUUCAGUCAGCCAGAGGCUGGAAGUCAGUCUCAAGCAGGCCAAGAAGGAGUUAACCUCCAAGGAGAACGAGGGCUUCUCCCAGACCGGAGGCCUGUGCCCAGCUUCGCCUCUGCCAACUCCGGGAAGAAGUCCUGGGAUCUGUAGUUUGUGCCACCACCCACCCCUGGCCUGCCUGUUUAUCAACAACGUCUUGGGGACUACAGUUCCCAGAAACCUGCAGAGGCCAGGCUUUGGGGGAAGGGGUGGGGUGUGAGGCUCGGUGGCAGCAGGAGGGAGAGGGAGGAGGUGGGGAGAGAAAACCCAAUUCACCCCCUUCCUUUUUAAUUCUUUCUCCUGGUGUGUCUGCUCCACCGCCCGAGCUAAUCCCCCAAAUCCGGUCUCCUAAGCCGCAGCUGCUUUCCUUCGCAGUGAUGAAUGGCUCGGGGAGGGAAGCCCCCACUGCCGUCCACUUUGGUGGAGGACAUUGCCCAAAUCCGAGGCACUUAGGAGUUCCUGGUCUGCCAGCAUGAAGCCGUGGCUGUCUCCUCCCCCAGUGUCUAGCUUGCUCUGGGACCCUCUCUCUCUUGGUCCCUCCAACGUGUUCAAGCCGUCUCUGACCCACUGCCCCAGUUUGGCUGGACGUGCUAGGGCUGCCCCCCCCCCCUGCCCCGGGAGGGUACCUGGUAUAGAGAGGAGAAGAAGGGUUGAGGGACAGGGGAAGGGGUCAACAGGAAGGCUGGGAACCCCCUGGUGGUUGGGGAUGAUGAGCUGUGGGUUCACACCUCUGCUCAGCUCCCACAGAGCUGGCCAAGCAGAGGCUCUUUCUCGCCUCCAUACCCCAGAUCAUCUCAGAUCUGAGCUGGGGACAAAGGCCAGAGAGGCGGAUGGGGAAUACAUCCAAGCCACCAGCUUGCAGUCAGAUGCAGCCAACUGUGAGUUAGCGGGGGGAUCUGUCCUGUGUCCACCUUCCUUUCCUUCCUAUGCGGAGUUGAUGGGGGCCAUCUUUCUAUCCCUUAGCCUCUCCUGGGCUAGAGGCAUGGAAGCUGAGGCCGGAGGGGAAGCUGCAGGAUGGGAGGGGAAGUUUCCAUCACGAACACAGAUAAGUAGGGGCUGCCUCCAGGCGCUGGUCCACUUGCUUCAUUGAAACUCUGCACUCUGCCCAUUUCAGACACUCAAAACCCUUUCUCCUCAAGUAGACAGAGCAGGAGGAAGUUCAUCAGGACCUACCUUUUCCAGGAAGCCCUCCUGCUGGUGCUGAGACACUCUGCAAAGUGUGAAGGGAUCGAGGCAGUGUGGGCAAAGCAGAGAGAGACGUGGAGGCACAGCCCCGACAGCUCCCCAGAUCUUCUCCGGUGAGCAUCCCCCCAGCCUGGCCCAGGGCAUGCCCCAGUUCACUUUUGCCUGCUUCUGUGGCCUCCACGGCUUCUGCAAGAUGAAGAGGAAGAAGGAGGAAGUUCACAGACAGCGGGAAACGGCCGUGUGAGCCGGACCGGGCCCCUUCUGCAGCCUCCAGCAGGUUCCAGGCCUGAGGGCGCGCCCACAUCUGGAAGGACCCGCCUGGCCUUCUGGAGACCGGGAGACAGAGAAGCCUCGGGGCAGCCCCAGGAGUGAAACUUCUUUCCUGCCCUCAGGGCUCCAAGCCCUCCACUCAGGGUGACUCCUCGGCUGAGGGAUGUGCCGCCUUGGUGGGCUAGGAGCACUGCUCCUGGAUAGGAAACUGGACCUCCUAGCAGCCCCCACGCCGGGGGAGGCCUCAGGCAGGCCGGGCCGAGUGGAGGUGUAAGAGGAGCCCCCCUCCAAAGCCAGGAUGCAGUCUCUCCUGGGAGCCCGGGACUUGAGGCAGGAGCCUCUCCGCAGGAGCAUCCCUGAGAGAGGGGUCCUUUCCUGUCCCCUCCCAGCGUUCUCCUGGGCCAGGUGGAGCCAGGACCAAGGCGGGCAGCCAGGUUGGGAGUCGGAUGGCAGAGUGGGGACAGUGAGAGGCAGGCAACGUCCUCGUGGCAGGAGGCCAGCUCGGUGUCCCCUGGGCGCCUCCCUCUCCCGAACUCCAGAAGGCAGCUUUCUCUCCAGGCCUGGCCUCGCAGACCCUCUGACCCCUGUCACGCCUCCUUGCAGCGGCACAGAUGUGGGGGCCUGUUUCCCAGGCCCCGACUCCCCUUCUUGGGAACUGUCAUCCAGGACCAGACUGUGGGGCCCCCUUCCUGGACUGUGCCGUGUCCUCCCUUUAUUCUCCUGUCUCCUCGCCUCGCCCACCUGCCUCUACUUUCUCUUCUCAGAAGCCAUAGAGAGGGAAGGGCUUGCAUGUUGUGCCUUUGGGGGAAACGGGGUAGAGGGACCCUCUAGGACCUGCCUUGCCUUUUCCCCCUAAUCUCUGCACUAACCUCAAUCUUCCAGGGUCAGUCUCAGCCCCCUCUCCCAGCCUAUUUCCAGCUGGUAAGAAGCAGACAAAACCCCCUUUCCUUCUUCCUUCCUUCCCUCCUCCCUCCUCCCAUGUGAUCUAACUUACCCUUCUGUCACAGUGCCCGAACCUCUCGGGUGCUAGAGGGUCACACGGGCAGCAAUGGCAGUGGCAGAGACACUUUGGGCAGAUUCUGUAACUUUAGCAAGUCUGCCCUCUCCUUCAGCACAGAACAGGUCGGCCCAGGAACAAAGUCAGAUGCCCGGUAGCCUCUGGGGACAGAAUAUUCUUUCUGACAGUUAACAGGUGGGCUGGGGAGAGGAGGUCAGGAUCCCAGGACAGAAGGUGGGGCUGUGUGCCCUUUUCCUUGGAAUGUGCCUCUCUGGGCAGUCAGGGAGGGCAGAAGACCACCUGUGCUGGUUCAUCCGGAACCUGGGAGAAGCAAAGGCACAUUCUGUCCUCGAAGCUUUUCUUUGCCUGUCCAGCUCAUGCACCAUGCUCAGGGGCAUUUCCUGAGCUUCCGGCAGAUUUGGUGGGAGACAGGUCAUCUUUGUGAAGCCAGAGCACCGCUUCCGAUCCCUCUCCUCCCAUCCUCCAACCACCUCCUUUGCCUCUAGCACCCAGCCCCAGACCUGUACAAUCUGUUAGUUCCUUUUAUAUCCAAAGAACUAUAAACAGAAGUCCUUCCCUCAAGGAAACAGCAAUAAAGGCCAGUGGGGUCACAAGGGACAGAGGAAAAGCUCCCCGGUUCUUUGGCCUCUUGGACGGUAGAGGCCUUGGGAGAGGCAGAGACGGGCAGAAAACGCUUUCAAGGGUACCUUGAUCGGGCGGCAGGGGAGCCCGCCUGGAGGGCAUGUGUGUCCCUAGCGGUGGCCUGUGAGGCUGCAGGCUUACAGAAGCCACUCUUGCGGUGGAGGAUGAAAUUGUAUCCCUGGAACCUCAGAGGUGUUGGGUGUUAGGUCCUGACCACAUGGGCUCACCCGGAGGAAAGGUCAGGAGAGGUGGCGAAGGAGGGUUUUGCCCCUGCGUACCUCUCGGGGCUCGGCAGCGAUGUCCGCUGCAGGGGUCUGGCAGUAAGCCCGUCCAGAGAGCUUCUUCCCCCAGGGAGAACUCCUUUGACUCCAAAGGGAUACCGGAUAUCUGGAGCCCCUGCUACGGGAGCAUGGGAGAGGUCCCAAGGUCAGGGCAUCACUGGUCUGAGUGGAGGGCUAGCCGUGCCUGCAGACAGCAGCCCGUGGCCCCUCCUUCAUCCUGGGUGAAGGUGGGGGCAAAUGCCUUGCUGAGUAGGAGGCGGCAACAGCUUUGAGCCAGACACACCCCUCGUCCCACCGUCCCUCCCUCGGUCUCCUUCUCAGGGAAAUGGUGACUUGGCUCCUCUCAGCGCCUGGAGCCGAUCUGGAGACCUGUGCCUGCCCGUCUGCCUCUGGGUGAGCCCAGGGGAGAGGUUUCAUCCAAAAAUGCAGAAGCAGCUCUCGUGUCCACAGACUGUGUGCCCCAGGCCUCUGGCUCACAGUCCGGGCUUUUCUUCCUUCUGUUUCUUUUGGGGCAUCGAGGUCUGGCCACCCUGUUUAUUGCCCUGCCCUGAGGCUCCUCCCCAGGGGACAGGUUGGACCAUUUUGCCCUCCCCGUUCCUAAUUCCCUCCACCCCACAGUUCUCUCCCAGACUACCUUGAGGAGGGGGACGGGAACUCCUGGGUGGAGGAAGGGGGCACAAGAGUCGAUGGUUCUGGAAGGAGGCCGGCCUCUCCUUCUUGCUGUGUGGCACUGAGUCCUUGCUGGAGGGCGGGAGGCCCUGGCCUCCCUGGGCCUCAGUUUUCCCCUCUUGUGCUGCGGGCUGUUGAAUGGGGGAUAAAGAAACGUGAGGGGUGCAUGAGCUUCUUGUGACUUGAAUGUUGUCUGGGGCCAGGCCCUAGGGACCCUGAGGGGCUUCUUGAAGUCUUUUCUUUUCUUUUCUUUUCUUUUCUUUUCUUUUAGUAGAAUAUCAUUUCCUUCUCCACUCCCAGGGAAGGGCUUUUUGGAUGUCGCAGGAGUCAACAGAAAUAUAUACAGAGAUUGUUAUUUUUGAAACAAAUAAAAAGAGCAAUAAUGUAACUGAAAUAUGCA